UUGAUAUUUGUAGUUUGACUUUAGAAUUAUGACCAAAAAAUUAGGUGAGUAAGAUGGAAGAAAAAUAGAUGUGUUUAAAUAAAAAAGCACUUUUAUUAAUUGUUAAAAUGGUUGGAAAGAAGAUCUCUGUCUCUCUUUGGCUAUAAAUAUGAUUCUUCAAUUUUUUUCUUUUUCUGUACAAAGUUUCUUUAUGUGCUUUAUUGUCGCUGACACCAACUUUUGGUAUCAAUACACUGAUUGAGAUCAUCUAUCAUGGGAUAUUAGAGGGGAAUAAUAUCCUUAAGGGUACAUUGUGCAUUCAGAAAAUGUAGUUUUGAGCAUUGAUGAUGAUAAUGAAGUUGAGCUACAAAAUGCAGUGAAAAAUGCAUCAGGCAAUCUGUUUCGAUUUGAUGCACAUGUAACCGAGUACACCAGCUAUGUCGAUAUUGCCACUAUGUCCUGUUCUGCAGGGAGCUGAGAGUGAAUGGAUCUAGCUUGGACGAGCUCCGACUUUGUUUUCCUGUACUAAAGAAACUGGUAAAACAUUCCUAAACAUAUUUCAUAUAAUAAGCUGCAAUAAAAAGAAUAGACAAUUGCUAUCAUGACCAAUCUUUUAGCAGUUAUAUAGAGAAGAAGUUGUUGCAGCUCA